ensembl:snRNA U2 U2 spliceosomal RNA
UUCUGUGUCUUGGCAUUUUGGCUAAGAUCAAGUGUAGUAUCUGUUCUUAUCAGCUUAAGUCUGGUAUGUCCUCUAUCCAGGCUUCCCAGGUGGCAAUAGUGGUAAAGAACCCAUCUGCCAGUGCAGGAGGCAUAAGACACACAGGUUCAGUCCUG